rnacentral:lncRNA from 1 species
AGGCAAAUAAGGACCAAAGACUCGCUGGCUGGGACGCCAUGAUGUCACUGCUGCCGCAGCAGCAGCAGAUGAUGAUGAUAAGGUUCCCUCUGCUGCCAACCCCGAGGAAUCAACGGCCUUAGAGCUAGUACUAGCCUCAUCCAUGAACAUACCUCCGCUUAGUAUCUAUUGGUAUUACAACUUACAACAGAAACAAAAAAAUAUAAAGCUCAUCGGAUCAAAUAGCACCUUCAUGUAACGCAUUAAUCUUCUGGCAGACACGAGGAAUUUCACCAUAAUAUUCUAAUCCCAUCCUCAUUCACCCAGUUUUCCUCAACAAUCAAUCAAACCAUGAUCUUUAUCAUCAACAGAUCCAUCCUUCAAGAUUUUCAACUCACGGAGAUUCACUCAAAUCAAUUUUCCCCCCUUUCUGUAAAAAUCUUGUCUUUAUCAAAAAGAUGAUGAUUGAUACAAAGAAGACCGCACUGAGGGUAUCCGCAGUGACAAAUUGAUCGAAGUAUUAGGUGUAAUCAACAAAGAAAAUGGCGAUUGAUGGAGUUUUUUAAGUGAAUCUGAGGUUGAAGAAGUGUCAAUUUGAAGAGGAAAGGCAGCCACCGUCACUGGAGUUCACUCCAGAUGGGAUUUUUCAGUUUUGUUUUUUUCGAUGUGGGCAAAAAUCCGCUGUGUCACAGCAAUAAGAUUAUGUAAAUCUUUUAUUUAAGCUUGUAUUAUCUUUGUUAUUUCUCAUUUAUUGUCAAUUAGACCAAAAAGAUAAUACCUAAUAUUCAAUUAUUCAACACUAGUAUUUGUAGAUGAAUUUUUUGUACAAUCGUAUAUAUAUAAUUGACUGGAUAUAUACUACUAGGAAAAUGAAGUAAGAUAAUUGAAAUAAUAAAUUAUCAAAAACAAGUAAAAAUAUAGUGAGAGAGCUCUAGAAACGGAUUUAAAAUUUAAAGUUUAUAGAAACAAAAUUUAAUUAUAUAUAUAUUCAGUAGAUUUCUAGACAGAUAAACAGAAUUUAGACAGAAAUGUUGGAUUUUGCCGAAGUCGUACUUUCCAUGCUAGAUUAAAAUGAGUGUGAUAUUAUUAAUUAGAAUUCCCACCAAGGACUGUAUAAUAUUUUUUUAUAAUAGUAACAUGAUACUGAGAAUCUUAAGUUAAGGACAAUAAUUGAAAACAUAUAAAAUGAAAUAUGUGUAUCUUUGUAAUUUGCAAGUGUGUAAAUCAUGUGUGGUGUGUUCGAUGUUAUAUAUAUGAUUGAUCCCCUCGUUCACUUAGGGAGUUACCUAUUUAUAGGCAUUGGUUUUUUUGGAGGCCAAGUUUUAGUAAAGUCUCUGACGAUGGGAAGGGGUGGUAAUGAUCGUUGUCAUGUAAUUGAGCAUUUUGGGAAUAGCAGAGAUAGUUGAGGGGUCUAUAGGACUCUCAACCUUACUCAGCAAAACACAUUGACCCAUACUCACCCCUCCUUAGAGCUGAUAUGGCAUACAGUUAUCACCUCUUCACACAGGAUAAUGUUGUGGAUUAAACCAAUCAUGUAGUGGACUCCUAACUCUAAGAGAUACAGCUUCAGCUAUCAGCUUUAAAAUUCGGCCCAUAAGACAAAUUGACCAAUACUCAUUUUCUUAUUACUAGCAAGUAGCAACAAAUGUAAUCUAUGAUUGAAUCCCCUCCCAGGUGCACUCCCCGAUAUCUAGAUUGACCUGCCUCAAAUGGGUUCCCUUCUUUGUCAUUUUUGACCCAAGAUCGAAAAAAACAGACAGAAUAAACAGGACUGCUUCAGACUGCCAUACGAUGAGCUUUAUGAUAAACAUCCAACUCUAACUACAUAAGAUUUUCUACAGAUACAGAAAUUCAUAAUUCCAGUGACUCAUUGAUUGCUAAAACUCAAAAUUCAGCAGGCAUUAAUGAACAAAAUCUUAUCUCACCCCCAAUCAAGAAAGUCCCAAAUGCAAAGUGAAAUAAAGUAAACAGUAAUGGAAAGGAGCACUUACAGGUCGUCUAACAACUACCCGCAAACUUUGGGGGUUAGCAUUUGCCUGUUGUCCAGCCAAAUAAGGACCAAAGACUCCCAGGCUCGGACGCCAUGAUGGAACCACUACCGCAGCAGCAGAAGAUGAUAAGGUUCCCUCUGCUGCCAACUCCGAGGAAUCAACGGCCAUAGAGCUAGAACUAGCUUCAUCCAUGAACGCACCUCCGCUUACUAACUAUUAAUAUUACAACUCACAACAGAAACAAAAAAACUAAACCAAGGGCAUCAUCGGAUCAAAUAGCACCCUCAUGUAACACAUUAAUCUUCCGGUACACGAGGAAUUUCACCAGAAGAUUCUAAUCCCAUCCUCAUUCACCCAGUUUUCAUCAACAAUCAAUCAAACCAUGAUCUUUAUCAUCAACAGAUCCAUCCCUCAAGAUUUUCAACUCACGGAAAUUCACUCAAAUCGAUUUUCCCCCUUUUCCGUAAAAAUCUAGUCUUUAUCAAAAAAGACGAUGAUUGAAACAAUAAAAACACCGGGGAAAGUAUCGGCGGUGACAAAUUGAUCGAAGUAAUAGGUAUAAUCAACAAAGAAAAUGGCGAUUGACGGAGUUUUUUUGAGUGAAUCUGAGGUUGAAGAAGUGUCAAUUUAGAGAGAAGAGGCAGCCACCGUCGCUGGAGUUUGCUCCAGAUGGGAUUUUUCAGUUUUGUUUUCUUUUGUUUCGAUGUGGGCAAAAACCUGCUGUGUCACAGCAAAGAGAUUAUGUAAAACUUUUAUUUAUUAAAGCUUG